ACGCUGGCGGCAGGCCUUACACAUGCAAGUCGAGCGGUAGAGAGAAGCUUGCUUCUCUGGAGAGCGGCGGACGGGUGAGUAAUGCCUAGGAAUCUGCCUGGUAGUGGGGGAUAACGUUCGGAAACGGACGCUAAUACCGCAUACGUCCUGCGGGAGAAAGCAGGGGACCUUCGGGCCUUGCGCUAUCAGAUGAGCCUAGGUCGGAUUAGCUAGUUGGUGAGGUAAUGGCUCACCAAGGCGACGAUCCGUAACUGGUCUGAGAGGAUGAUCAGUCACACUGGAACUGAGACACGGUCCAGACUCCUACGGGAGGCAGCAGUGGGGAAUAUUGGACAAUGGGCGCAAGCCUGAUCCAGCCAUGCCGCGUGUGUGAAGAAGGUCUUCGGAUUGUAAAGCACUUUAAGUUGGGAGGAAGGGUUGUAGAUUAAUACUCGGCAAUUAUGACGUUACCGACAGAAUAAGCACCGGCUAACUCUGUGCCAGCAGCCGCGGUAAUACAGAGGGUGCAAGCGUUAAUCGGAAUUACUGGGCGUAAAGCGCGCGUAGGUGGUUUGUUAAGUCGGAUGUGAAAUCCCCGGGCUCAACCUGGGAACUGCAUUCAAAACUGCCUGACUAGAGUAUGGUAGAGGGUGGUGGAAUUUCCUGUGUAGCGGUGAAAUGCGUAGAUAUAGGAAGGAACACCAGUGGCGAAGGCAACCACCUGGACUAACACUGACACUGAGC
rnacentral:rRNA from 1 species